CCUGCAGAGAGGACUUAAACGGAGUGGGACUCUGCCCCUCCCAAACCCUGAAUGUUUUGCCACACUUGGAAGUCUCCUUGGACGGGGUGCAGCAAGGUGAGGCCACCAGGGCUGGGGAAUCUCACUCUUCGUGCAGCUGUGCGGUGGGUGUUCCCAACCCUGGCCACCCCUGCUCUCUGCACCCCUACUUCCUACAACCACUCCUGAGCCUGUCCUCCCCCGUGCCUUCCUCGGGCACCUGUUGCUUCUGGAUCCCUAGGAGUCAAGGAGGCUCCCCACCCCUGUGGCUGAGAACUGGACUGUGGCAAGGGCUGGGUGUGUGUGCGUGAAUGAGAGGGAACACGUUUACUGGGUGUGACCAUGUUACCACUCAAUAAAGUUGCCCUGUGACACU
rnacentral:lncRNA from 1 species